AUUGCAUUUGGUUUGUGGCCACAUUUUCCCACUCCUUCUUCCCCUCUUUCUCUGUUUCUCCCUUCUCCCUCCCCUUCCUAACAGUUCUCUUCUCUUCUUGUUCUUCUUGUAGUGGGUAAUACCUGUUCUAACUUAUCAAAGUGGUAUCAAAGCUAAAACCUAGAUUCCGUCAUUAAAAUGGUUGAUUAAUCUGCACCCCAGACACCUGCAAUUCCCAGCAUCAUCCUCUUCAGUCUCCAAACCCGCUGCUACAAAAACGCAGACAAACCGAACCCAAUUUCAUCCACAAAUUGCUGUUGACAAUUUGUUCUCUGUUGACGCCUACUAAUCCACAUAAAUAAAGACCCAUCUGCUGCAACUUCCACCAAGAUUUUGUGAAGAGAAUAAACUAAACCGCCCACUACUACAACACAAUUGGCCCUACCACCACCUGACCAUUGAUUUCAAUCCAAACACCAUCAGUCACGCCAAUAAACAAUAAUCGCACCAAUCUCCGCCACAUAUACAUGUAAAACCCAAAUUAUAUUCAACCAAUUAACCCAUAAACCCACCAUCUUAAACUGACCCAGUUAAUCCCUCCCCAUUGCCGGAAGCAUCUUCUAACGCCUGCACGUUCCACCGUCACACCAAAGCCUCCAUACGUGAUAUUCAACAGCACCGAUCGCUGGCCACUCCUAAAACAUUGAUCCAAGCGGUCAACCCUCUCCCUCGCCAACCUCCUCCACUAUCACAAGUCCCGACUCCAAUCUUCGCAUCCCACGUCGCCAUCUUCAUACAACAACCGAUCCCAAAGUUGGAGUGAAACUGGGUACUUAUUUUCAAUUGGGCUAUGUUUACAAUUGAUGUCUUGGGCCUGGGUUAUGCCUUUUAUUUUUGCAAAGAGUUUAAUUGGAAGAAAAUAUGUAUGGUUAUUUUAUAUUUUGGGCCUUAAUUUUCCCUUGUUGGUUUACUUAAAAGUGUAAUUUGAUUUUACUUAAAAAAAAAAAUGCAGAAGGGUAAAAAAAAAAAAAAACAAAAAUUGAAAGUGAAAAAAAAGGAGAAAAGAAGUGAAAAAAAAAUAUUUCUG
rnacentral:lncRNA from 1 species